AUUCACCCCCACCUUGUCUGCCCUACUCUGUGCCACAGGAGGCUGACCUGAAUGACAACAUAAACCAGGCUCCUUUGCUCUCUGUCCUCAGUUGUAUUUGAGCCACAGAAUCUUAGUGCUUCAGAAUUCUGUGGAUACUCUUCACUCCAAAACCUGAGCCUAACCUGAUAUAACCUAGAUUUUGGACAAUGCAGCAAGAAUAAAUGAGUCCUCUUGAGGCCUGUCAGCUAUAUGACCUUGGGAGAGUGUGUGGAUUAUUUCUGGCUGAGAGUGGAAGGAGAAAUCGCAUGGGAAAGGAAAUCCUCACACGAAUGUCAGCUGAAUUUUGGAUGGCUGCGGAAAGAGGAGAAGGUAACUCAGGAAAGGGGCCCAACUCACUCAGGCACAUUCAUUUUAAUAAAGUUCACAGAAAGGUGAGGAACUUAGAAUCAUUAGCAGCGUUUGGAAAGAGACAAAAACAUGCAAAUGAGCCCAAAGCCUUUACCUAG
rnacentral:lncRNA from 13 species